UACGUAGGGUGCGAGCGUUAAUCGGAAUUACUGGGCGUAAAGGGUGCGCAGGCGGCGUCGCAAGUCAGGCGUGAAAUCCCCGGGCUUAACCUGGGAACUGCACUUGAAACUACGAUGCUGGAGUAUGGCAGAGGGGAGUGGAAUUCCACGUGUAGCGGUGAAAUGCGUAGAGAUGUGGAGGAACACCGAUGGCGAAGGCAGCCCCCUGGGCUGACACUGACGCUCGAGCACGAAAGCGUGGGGAGCAAA
rnacentral:rRNA from 1 species